GACGUAGGGCGCGAGCGUUGUCCGGAUUUAUUGGGCGUAAAGAGCUCGUAGGCGGCCUGUUGCGUCCGCUGUGAAAUCCCGGGGCUCAACCCCGGGCCUGCAGUGGAUACGGGCUGGCUAGAGGCAGGCAGGGGAGAACGGAAUUCCUGGUGUAGCGGUGGAAAUGCGCAGAUAUCAGGAGGAACACCGGUGGCGAAGGCGGAUUCGUCUGGGCCUGUACUGACGCUGAGGAGCGAAAGCGUGGGGAGCGAACAGG
rnacentral:rRNA from 1 species